AUUACUAAAGAACUUAUUCUUGUAACCAAACACCACCUGUUCCCCAAAAACCUAUUUAAAUUAAAAAAAAUAGAGCUGUUUAAUAUAACAAAUGUAGAAUGAAUGCAAAGAGAAAAUGAAUGCCUCUUGGGUACCAGCUGUGUGGCAAGCACUGUGCUGGCCCUUCAUGGCAACUAUGAGGAAACUGAGGUUGAAGACAUUGUAUCUCUUGUUUAAGAUCUCACAGUACCAAUUGACAGUUCUAGGAUUUGUUCUAUUCCAGAGCCUACAAGUUUUCCACCAAUCUAUGUUCCCUCCCUCAGCAUAAUUAAUAAUUGUUAUACUAUAAGGCUAAACUAAAUUUAUAUCAAGAUGUCCCAGAGAGUUAUAUCUUAUUUGUUAACCAUUAACUUUUCCCAAUCAGACACUUAAUGCAGCACUAGUUCCAUCUUAAGACUAGAACAGAACACCAUGGAUGAUGAUUUUGAACCUCUUUUGGCCAGAAAUGUGCCCAGAGUUCUAAACCUUGGACAGCUUUGCAUCAAGACCUUUGGAGGCAGCUUUCACCUACUCAUAUACGUGAUUCACCAUCUCCAUGGGGCCCUCUUUUCUUGAUUAUUAGGUCUGACUUUAUUUACAGCUGAAAUGUGAUUCCCUUUUAUGAAGAUCAUUUUUUAUUCCAAAAAAGACCUUGGGUAUUAUGUCCUGUUCUCAUGGUCAGAAAUCUGAAUGCUUCAAUAUACUGCAUUUUGCUUUUCUUUCAUAGCCAAAUAAAAGAGAAAGACCACAGUUAUACAUAGUGUGUCAGUCUGGCUCACUCAGAUUAUGUUUGUAAAAUUCCUUUUUCUAUAGAGCUAAUAUUUACUCAGCACUGAUGUCCCAGGCACCAUAUGGUAUCCCAGGGACCAUACUAAGCCCUUUCUAUGGAUGGUCUCUCUUAAGACUCAGAAUAACCUUUUGUUUAUAAACUGUCACAUAGGAGGGUCAAACAACUCAGCCUGGUUCAUACUGCCAUCAAAAAGCAAAGCUGAGCUUCGAACCCAGGCUGUGUGUGCAAAUCCCUGAGCUUUCAAACCACUGUGCAUGCUGUCUCCCAACUCUUUGUUUUUUCUGUGCCUUUCUCUAGCCAGGAGGUUUUUCUCCACCUGCCCAUUUAUCUUCCAUAAUUCUUGCUCUUGGGACAGAUGAUUUCCAAGGUCCCUUCAAGUAUUGAAAUUCCAUGACUGAUUAAAAAUUAUAAUGUAUGCAGUUUGAUUAAUUUGCACUAAUGCCUGAGUUCAUUCACAAUGUUAAUUUCUUUACAAGGUUCCAACAGUUUUUUAACUUACAGAUCUCCUUCUGAUGUUAAAGGAAUCAUGCUGCUUUUCCUAUAAUAAUAUUUAAGUCCCCAGUUUUAAAAACAUAAGGUUUAAAAAUAUAUCUGAAAGGAUUUUACCAUGCAUGCAACACACCAAUUUUCCAUAUGGACCAAAAUAGUCUUUUUAAGACCCUGUUCUCUCAGUUGUCUUUCCCAAGUCUCACAGAUGCAGUGCUAAUUGCAUGCAGCUUCAGGUCCUUUAUAACAUGAGGUAACAAUUUCAGUGUCUUGGGCUUGAAUGCUGCAUUUGUUAGACAUGCCAGGCCUGGAAUUGGUGUCAGCUCGUCAGGAUGCUGAAUCCACAUGGAGAGCAACUCAUCUGAACGUUGGGAAGCUUCCUGGAGAAACUCCUGUUGUGCUCCUCUCAGGCAUGGCGUGAGAGCCAGUGGUGUGACUGGUUCCUUAGCUAGGAUGCAUCUUGGUCAGACUUGGCAGCACUGGGUGAUGGCUCUUUGGGACCAGUGCAGGUAUUUGAGUCUCUCUAGUCAAGUUGUACUUGUUGAAGAAUGAUUCCAGAAGUGACGUUUAUUCACAGACCUACUACUUGGGCUACUUGGGCUAGCUCCAAGUGUCUGAGUGGCUCGGCGGCUGAAGGCAGACUGCACUUGGGACACAUCUAAAAUUCAUUCUGACUGGAUUGAGAAAACAAGGAGACCAAAAAGAAAAGAAGUGGCAGGAUUCUGCAAUCACAUCUGUAACUGAGGAGCCACGGGAUAUAACUUUGGAGAAUAUCUUGACCUGAUCUUGCUUUGCAGCUUGUCUGUAGUUCUAGUCUUUAGAGUCGCGGAAGCCUGAGUUCCCACCAAGCUCAGCUCUUAAUGGCUGUGUGAUAAUGAAGACGUCACUUGAUCUUCCUGAGCCUCAGUUUCUUCAUCUGUAAAUUGGGAUGAGAUACCUCCCUCAUGGGUCUGUUGUGAGGACAACAUGUGAUGAUCCUGCCAAAGCUCUCUAGGCACUCUGUGCUUAGCUGUGUGGCCAAUGCACAGUCAGCAGCGACACGAUGCUAUUUUUACUGCCUUCUUUCCCUCUUUCCCCAAGAGGACACACUCCUCUAGAAAAAUAAGGUUCAUGCAAACCUGCACUUUAAGAGCAUUUAUACAGAUGUGCACGAUGCAGUGCAUGUGUCUUGAUGGGGCUUUGUUAAAUUGAAUUUUAAAAUUGUGUUUUAAAUAUACUUAGGGAAGUACAGAAAGGUACCCCAGAACAGGUUGUUUUAUAAAGACAACAAUAAUUUCUGAAUUAUUUUCAUUUCAGCUUUUUAUAUACUGUGUAGUCACAAAAUGAGAGACCCUCCCCCACUCACCCCACCCUCACAGCUCCCCAGAGGAACAAUAGCCAUGAGCAAACAGUGCUUGCCUCCUGACCUUCGGGUGUUUCUCCUAAAGGCUAGCUCAUUUAAGGGCAGCAGUCAGGGGCUUGCUACUCUUCGCAGCCCUGUUUCUUUUCUUGUGAUGAGAAGAAACAAGCCCAGGCUGACAGCUGGCCAAGACUUGAACUAGAAUGUUGAAGUUGAAAAGUCAAAAUGGGUCUGUGUCAAAGGACUAGCAGAGGGGAAGGGACUGUCCUCCGGGGAGCUGAGGAGUGAGGAUGGUCCUCACCUCGAUCCAGCGAUCAAAUUCCCCAAGUAAAUCCAUGUAAAACAUGAACUGUGGCCAGCACUUGUUAAGCAAGGAAUAUUAAAAAUCAUUGUCAUUACUGCUGCUAUUAUUGUUACAGGCUUGUUCCAAGACUCUGGGUUUUGGCUCAGCUUGUCUAAAUGGUCUUCCAUCUUAAGGAAUCAAGGGGUAGAUUUUGGAACCACUAGCUCCAUAGCCAAAGAAGGAGCAAUCCAGCAACUUAGGCAUUGAUUCCGCAAGCCGUCCCAGAGCCUCUGUGUAGUCCUUACUUUCCCUAAAUUGCCAUGACUAGCUGGCUCAAGUUAGGCCUUUCUAAUUUACCUGGACCGUUGCUGUCUCCUGUGCACGGCUGCGGGGAUGAGCACCUUGUUGUGCGUUCCUCCGCUGGGCUGACGGAAAUGGUUUGCAGCCAGACUGCUACGCCACGCGGUCUGGCAUUUAGUCCUCAGAAAUCUGAUUUAGAGAACGUAUACAUUGCAUCACAAUCUAGAUUUCAGAGGAAAGUUUUGGAUAGAAUAACCCAGACCCAAGUCUGGGUAAUUUAAAGCCUGGGUGAAAUGGGGCAGAAAGAGCCCAGAAUAUACAGGUCUGAAUCUUGGCUGGGGUGAUGUGGAAGACUGGAGGCGCCAGACGGCUGGCCUCCCUCCAAGUGUUUACCAUGCUGGUGCCAUGGGGCUGGGGCUGGGCAGUCCAUGUGCUCAUUCUUCCCUUCUCUUCUCCUCCUCCUCCCCCUCCAUCUCUCCUCCUCCUCCUCAUGUUUUCUAUAGGCUAGAGAAACUCAGGAACUACUGACCCACAGGGAAGGCAAGCGGAGAUAUGAGACGGAGGAAUCAAACGCUGCCCUGGUGGAGGACGCUGUGGGUUUACAGUGGAUGAUUUCCUCUGCCUAUGAGAUAAAAGGGCUGGCUCUGUACUUUGAACCCCAGCCUCACCCACCUCUGCCUGGGUGUGGCUCUUACUCUCUGGAAGACUUACUCAGGGGAGAGGACAGGACAGUGUGAGGCUUGAAUCUCCAGGAAAUAGAGUCUGUGGGCAGCCAUUGACUCCGAGUCAAUGAGAACAAGGUGUGCUGUUUCCUCUGUGCUGUUUCUUCCCUGCCCCACUCCCCGCCCCUUUGUCCUAUGGUGCCCAGGCUGCCUGCACUGCCCAGAUACCACAGGCCUUGCCAGGGACCUCCUGAGAGGUUUCUGAGGCUUGCAGCCAGUGGUCCCGUUAGUCUGCACGUCUCCGAGUUGCCCUCCCAGAGGAGAAAGCAUAUGCUGCUGGGACCGACUGCAGCUCCUCAUGGAUGCACCUGCCACCAGAAAAUUGUUGUUCAGUCUGGGAUUGCUUUCUCUUCCCAAAGCACAAUCUCACAUGCAGUCAUGAGCCCAGUCCAGCCUCUGGGACAGAAGAUUUCGUGCUUUUAUAAACCAACAGCACUGCAGGUGCUGCACAAGAGAACCAAAACAAUUUAAAGAGAUGACGGAGGAACUGCUUUUAACAGUCUUUGAACAAGUUGCCGAAGAAUCAAUAUCCACAGAUCAGAAGGAAAAUUGUUACCUCACAUUUCAAAGGUAGAUUCUGGAAAUUACAGGCUGAUAAUCUUCACAUUAGCUACCAGCAAAUUUCUGGAACAGAUUAUCAAACAGUUUGUUAAAAUAUGUGAAAAGGGGAGACAUGAUUAUUAUGUUCUAAUAUGCAUUCACCAAAAAUAAAUGAUCACAAAUUAA
rnacentral:lncRNA from 1 species